rnacentral:rRNA from 1 species
AUUGAACGCUGGCGGCAUGCUUUACACAUGCAAGUCGAACGGUAACAGGCCGCAAGGUGCUGACGAGUGGCGAACGGGUGAGUAAUGCAUCGGAACGUGCCCAGUCGUGGGGGAUAACGCAGCGAAAGCUGUGCUAAUACCGCAUACGAUCUAUGGAUGAAAGCGGGGGACCGUAAGGCCUCGCGCGAUUGGAGCGGCCGAUGUCAGAUUAGGUAGUUGGUGGGGUAAAGGCUCACCAAGCCAACGAUCUGUAGCUGGUCUGAGAGGACGACCAGCCACACUGGGACUGAGACACGGCCCAGACUCCUACGGGAGGCAGCAGUGGGGAAUUUUGGACAAUGGGCGCAAGCCUGAUCCAGCAAUGCCGCGUGCAGGAAGAAGGCCUUCGGGUUGUAAACUGCUUUUGUACGGAACGAAAAGGUCUGGGUUAAUACCCUGGGCUGAUGACGGUACCGUAAGAAUAAGCACCGGCUAACUUCGUGCCAGCAGCCGCCGUAA